rnacentral:tRNA from 1 species
GCCCUUGUAGCUCAGUUGGUAGAGCGCAUCCUUGGUAAGGAUGAGGUCGGCGGUUCAAAUCCGCUCGGGGGCUCCA